CGGUAAUACGGAGGAUCCAAGCGUUAUCCGGAAUCAUUGGGUUUAAAGGGUCCGUAGGCGGUUUAAUAAGUCAGUGGUGAAAUCCGGCAGCUCAACUGUCGCACUGCCAUUGAUACUGUUAAACUUGAAUUAUUGUGAAGUAACUAGAAUAUGUAGUGUAGCGGUGAAAUGCUUAGAGAUUACAUGGAAUACCAAUUGCGAAGGCAGGUUACUAACAAUCAAUUGACGCUGAUGGACGAAAGCGUGGGGAGCGAACAGGAUUAGAUACCCUGGUAGUCCACGCCGUAAACGAUGGAUACUAGCUGUUCGACCGCAAGGU
rnacentral:rRNA from 1 species